UUCCGGGUUGAUCCUGCCGGACCUGACUGCUAUCGGAUUGAUACUAAGCCAUGCGAGUCUUUGUAGCAAUACAAGGCAGACGGCUCAGUAACACGUAGUCAAUCUACCCUAUGGACGGGGAUAACCUCGGGAAACUGAGAAUAAUACCCGAUAGAUCAUUAUGCCUGGAAUGGUUUAUGGUCGAAAUGAUUUAUCGCCGUAGGAUGGGACUGCGGUCUAUCAGCUUGUUGGUGAGGUAAUGGCCCACCAAGGCUAUAACAGAUACGGGCUCUGAGAGGAGAAGCCCGGAGAUGGGUACUGAGACACGGACCCAGGCCCUAUGGGGCGCAGCAGGCGAGAAAACUUUGCAAUGUGCGAAAGCACGACAAGGUUAAUCCGAGUGUUUUCUGCUAAAGAAAUCUUUUGUCAGUCCUAAAAACACUGAUGAAUAAGGGGUGGGCAAGUUCUGGUGUCAGCCGCCGCGGUAAAACCAGCACCUCAAGUGGUCAGGAGGAUUAUUGGGCCUAAAGCAUCCGUAGCCGGCCGUGUAAGUUUUCGGUUAAAUCUAUACGCUCAACGUAUAGGCUGCCGGGAAUACUGCACAGCUAGGGAGUGGGAGAGGUAGACGGUACUCGGUAGGAAGGGGUAAAAUCCUUUGAUCUAUUGAUGACCACCUGUGGCGAAGGCGGUCUACUAGAACACGUCCGACGGUGAGGGAUGAAAGCUGGGGGAGCAAACCGGAUUAGAUACCCGGGUAGUCCCAGCUGUAAACAAUGCAAACUCAGUGAUGCACUGGCUUGUGGCCAGUGCAGUGCCGCAGGGAAGCCGUUAAGUUUGCCGCCUGGGAAGUACGCACGCAAGUAUGAAACUUAAAGGAAUUGGCGGGGGAGCACCACAAGGGGUGAAGCCUGCGGUUCAAUUGGAGUCAACGCCGGAAA
rnacentral:rRNA from 1 species